AUCUUUUUGUAGUUCAUAAGCAUGACAACUGGGUUUUCAUGUGCAUGCAUGAGAUGUGCCUCCAACAAAUCUUGUUACAAUGUCGGCACCUUACCAUGUGACA
ensembl:snoRNA